UAUAACGGUCCUAAGGUAGCGAAAUUCCUUGUCGGGUAAGUUCCGACCUGCACGAAUGGCGUAACGAUGGCCACACUGUCUCCUCCCGAGACUCAGCGAAGUUGAAAUGUUUGUGAUGAUGCAAUCUACCCGCGGCUAGACGGAAAGACCCCAUGAACCUUUACUGUAGCUUUGCAUUGGACUUUGAACCAAUCUGUGUAGGAUAGGUGGGAGGCUUUGAAGCGGGGACGCUAGUUCUCGUGGAGCCGUCCUUGAAAUACCACCCUGGUUUGUUUGAGGUUCUAACCUUGGCCCGUUAUCCGGGUCGGGGACAGUGCAUGGUAGGCAGUUUGACUGGGGCGGUCUCCUCCCAAAGUGUAACGGAGGAGUUCGAAGGUACGCUAGGUACGGUCGGACAUCGUGCUAAUAGUGCAAUGGCAUAAGCGUGCUUAACUGCGAGACUGACAAGUCGAGCAGGUACGAAAGUAGGACAUAGUGAUCCGGUGGUUCUGUAUGGAAGGGCCAUCGCUCAACGGAUAAAAGGUACUCUGGGGAUAACAGGCUGAUUCCUCCCAAGAGUUCAUAUCGACGGGGGAGUUUGGCACCUCGAUGUCGGCUCAUCACAUCCUGGGGCUGUAGCCGGUCCCAAGGGUAUGGCUGUUCGCCAUUUAAAGUGGUACGUGAGCUGGGUUUAAAACGUCGUGAGACAGUUUGGUCCCUAUCUGCCGUGGGCGUUGGAAGUUUGAGGGGGGCUGCUCCUAGUACGAGAGGACCGGAGUGGACGAACCUCUGGUGUACCGGUUGUCACGCCAGUGGCAUCGCCGGGUAGCUAAGUUCGGAAGAGAUAACCGCUGAAAGCAUCUAAGCGGGAAACUUGCCUCAAGAUGAGACUUCCCGGGAACUUGAUUCCCCUAAAGGGUCGUUCGAGACCAGGACGUUGAUAGGCUGGGUGUGGAAGCGCAGUAAUGCGUUAAGCUAACCAGUACUAAUUGCCCGUGCGGCUUGUCCCU
rnacentral:rRNA from 1 species